CAUCAUCAGACUUUAAUGGCACUUGUAACUCAUAUAUGUGCAAAGUUCUCAUCAAUAGAAACGAAUUAAGUUCAAACAGCAGGUAAUUGGUAUAAGUCGUUGAAGAGUUCCCUCGACUAUCUUUCGUCUCCAUCAUCAGACUGAAAUGGCACUUAUAACUCAUACAUAUGCAAAGUUCUCAUCAAUAGAAACGAAUUAAGUUCAAACAGCAGGUAAUUGCUAUAAGUCGUUGAAGAGUACCCUCGACUAUCUUUCGUCUCCAUCAUCAGACUUAAAUGGCACUUAUAACUCGUAUAUAUGCAAAGUUCU
rnacentral:misc_RNA from 1 species